UUUUUUUUAGAAAAGCCAGAGAUGAGGUCUUGAUUUUACUAUCAAUAGAAUUCCAUAUUUUAGGCCCUUGAAAUCUAGUAUUAAACAUACCAUAAUUUGUUCUUAGUUUAGGAAGAGAAUAAGAUUGGUUAGAUGAUAACCUUGUAUUAUAAUUAUGUAAUUGGUCAACAGGCACAAAAAAGAGGUUAAAUGUAGAAGGCAGGAGAGAGUUGUGAAACUUAAACAUAAGAACAGCAGUGC